rnacentral:ncRNA from 1 species
GCAAUGGUAAACCUGUGGUAGGAUAGGAAGCCACAGGUUCAGGUAUUUGGUUUAUGUGCUUGACUGAGGAACCAAAGGGGUGAAGCUACCAUCUGUGAAAUUAUUACUGAGCAGAUCUAAGUCAGAUUCCCACGAAGGC